rnacentral:rRNA from 1 species
AGGGAUCAUUGCUGGAACGCGCCCCAGGCGCACCCAGAAACCCUUUGUGAACUUAUACCUUACUGUUGCCUCGGCGCAUGCCGGCCCCCCUGGGGGCCCCUCCUUCUGGAGGAGCAGGCACGCCGGCGGCCAACCUAACUCUUGUUUUUACACUGAAACUCUGAGAAUAAAACAUAAAUGAAUCAAAACUUUCAACAACGGAUCUCUUGGUUCUGGCAUCGAUGAAGAACGCAGCGAAAUGCGAUAAGUAAUGUGAAUUGCAGAAUUCAGUGAAUCAUCGAAUCUUUGAACGCACAUUGCGCCCUCUGGUAUUCCGGAGGGCAUGCCUGUUCGAGCGUCAUUUCAACCCUCAAGCCUGGCUUGGUGAUGGGGCACUGCCUGUAAAAGGGCAGGCCCUGAAAUUCAGUGGCGAGCUCGCCAGGACCCCGAGCGCAGUAGUUAAACCCUCGCUCUGGAAGGCCCUGGCGGUGCCCUGCCGUUAAACCCCCAACUUCUGAAAAUUUGACCUCGGAUCAGGUAGGAAUACCCGCUGAACUUAAGCAUAUCAAUAAGACGGAG